rnacentral:misc_RNA from 1 species
CGCACCUUGCGCUCCUUGGUAUUCCGAGGAGCAUGCCUGUUUGAGUGUCAUGUAAUUAUCAACUCCCUUUCUUUGCUGAAAGGUGAGCUUGGAUUUGGGGACUUGCUGGUGAUUCAUCAGCUUCCCUUGAAUGCAUUAGCUGGUCAUUGAUUUGCAGCAUAUAUGCGGUGUGAUAAUGUCGUCACUGUGUAGCUCAAGUCAGCUGGCUUCUAAUUGUCUUUGCGGACACUUUGAUCAAUUUGACCUCAAAUCAGGUAGGACUACCCGCUGAACUUAA